rnacentral:rRNA from 1 species
CAGCCGCCGCGGGAAUACGUAGGGUGCAAGCGUUAAUCGGAAUUACUGGGCGUAAAGCGUGCGCAGGCGGUUAUAUAAGACAGAUGUGAAAUCCCCGGGCUCAACCUGGGAACUGCCUUUGUGACUGCAAGGCUAGAGUACGGCAGAGGGGGAUGGAAUUCCGCGUGUAGCAGUGAAAUACGUAGAUAUGCGGAGGAACACCGAUGGCGAAGGCAAUCCCCUGGGCCUGUACUGACGCUCAUGCACGAAAGCGUGGGGAGCAAACAGGAUUAGAUACCCCUGUAGUCCCUGUCUCUUAUAC